rnacentral:rRNA from 1 species
GAUGAACGCUGGCGGCGUGCUUAACACAUGCAAGUCCAACGAUGAAGCCCAGCUUGCUGGGUGGAUUAGUGGCGAACGGGUGAGUAACACGUGAGUAACCUGCCCUUAACUCUGGGAUAAGCCUGGGAAACUGGGUCUAAUACCGGAUAGGAGCGCCUACCGCAUGGUGGGUGUUGGAAAGAUUUAUCGGUUUUGGAUGGACUCGCGGCCUAUCAGCUUGUUGGUGAGGUAAUGGCUCACCAAGGCGACGACGGGUAGCCGGCCUGAGAGGGUGACCGGCCACACUGGGACUGAGACACGGCCCAGACUCCUACGGGAGGCAGCAGUGGGGAAUAUUGCACAAUGGGCGAAAGCCUGAUGCAGCGACGCCGCGUGAGGGAUGACGGCCUUCGGGUUGUAAACCUCUUUCAGUAGGGAAGAAGCGAAAGUGACGGUACCUGCAGAAGAAGCACCGGCUAACUACGUG